rnacentral:rRNA from 1 species
GGACAACCUGCCCUUGAGACGGGGAUAAACCCGGGAAACUGGGUAUAAUACCCGAUAGAUCUCGAUUGCUGGAAUGCAUCGAGCUUGAAAGCUCCGGCGCUCAAGGAUGGGUCUGCGGCCUAUCAGGUAGUAGUGGGUGUAGCGUACCUACUAGCCUACGACGGGUACGGGUUGUGAGAGCAAGAGCCCGGAGAUGGAUUCUGAGACACGAAUCCAGGCCCUACGGGGUGCAGCAGGCGCGAAAACUUUACAAUGCUGGAAACAGCGAUAAGGGGACCUCGAGUGCCAGGUUACAAAUCUGGCUGUCGUGAUGCCUAAAAAGCAUUGCAUAGCAAGGGCCGGGCAAGACCGGUGCCAGCCGCCGCGGUAACACCGGCGGCUCGAGUGGUAACCGUUAUUAUUGGGUCUAAAGGGUCUGUAGCCGGCCGGAUAAGUCUCUUGGGAAAUCUGGCAGCUUAACUGUCAGGCUUUCAGGAGAUACUGUCUGGCUCGAGGCCGGGAGAGGUGAGAGGUACUUCAGGGGUAGGGGUGAAAUCUUGUAAUCCUUGAAGGACCACCAGUGGCGAAGGCGUCUCACCAGAACGGACCUGACGGCAAGGGACGAAAGCUAGGGGCACGAACCGGAUUAGAUACCCGGGUAGUCCUAGCCGUAAACGAUACUCGCUAGGUGUCGGCAACGGUGCGACCGUUGUCGGUGCCGUAGGGAAGCCGUGAAGCGAGCCACCUGGGAAGUACGGCCGCAAGGCUGAAACU